UGGUGCGUCGUUUUACACCAAAAAUAUCCGGCAGUCAGCCGGUAUGCCCACACUGCGCAGACAGCAGUAAGCAAAAUCGUCUCCCAAGGGACUGGCGAGAAUUUCUCUAAUUAAAGUCUGCAAAGUAACCACGAAAUUUUGAGAAGAAAAUAUAGAAAAUACUAAACUUAAAAUUUAAUAAAUAAAAUCCGAAUAAACCAAUUUUUCCAAUUAACUAAAAGAUGAAUAAAAA
rnacentral:lncRNA from 1 species